GGUGUGUAUGUGGUGUGUUUGUGGCAUGUGUGUGGCGUGUGUGGGGGUGUGUGUGGCGUGUGUGUGAAUGCACACACUAGUGCUGCAGAGGGGUUGCAAUGCAGCAGAGAUGGUGGCAGAGACAUGGACGUAGUUCUUGCCAAACUGUGUGUCACUAAGAGUCUCAUUAAGGAGAGAAGGCCUGCCGAAUGGGAGGGCUUGGAGCUCUGCUGCAAGGGGGAAGAGACUGAGUCUGGGAGGGAGUAACAGUCCUGAAGCCUCGUGGUGACUCCAGGGCUUCCAUGACCCAUUGGCAAGCAUGUGGGUUGAGUGGUGUUUCCCCAAAAGAUAUGUUCUAGUCCUAGCCCCUGGCACCUGAUGAUCUUACUUGGAAAUAGGGUCUUUAUGAGAUCAUACUGGAUUACAGUGGUGCUAUGGUCUGAAUGUUUAUGUCCCCCCAAAUUCAUAUGUUGAAAUCCUAACUCCCAAGGUGAUAGUCAUUGGAGUUGGGGCCUUCAGGAGGUGAUUAGGUCAUCAGAGUGAAGCCCCCAGGAAUGAGAUCAAUGCCCUUAUGAAAGAGGCACGAGGCCACUCAUUCACUCCUUCCACCAAGUGAGGUUACAGCGAAAAAACUGCUGUCUGUGUGGUGGGCCCUCGCCAGACACUGGAUCUCUCACCAUCUUGAUGUUGGACUUCCCAGCUCCCAGAACUGUCUUUCCUGAGCACACAGAAGAUCAAGACCACACUCACUGACUUCUCAUAGUCAAGCAAUUUUGGCCAAUUAAAUGUCAGUUGGAAACUCCUGUGUCAGCUUCUCUGUGGCGGUGAGAAGUCCCUGUGUGACAUCCCAACUCUCCCCUCACCUGCGUUGGCAACCAAGAAAGCCUUGUGUUGGAGGUGGGGCCACAAGUUUAAAGCUAAGUUACCACCUCGAGGGCACAUUCCUGGAGAGCUUCCCAGGCCCACAGUGGCACGUGUAUGAGUGACAGAUCCACUUCUUUAUUACCUUUUUGAAGAACAGGAACCUUUGUCUGGAAAUUCCACAAGUAUGCCUUUUGCAAGAUUAAAAGUGCCACAAAGAACAAAAAUGAGCCCAGGACCAGAUGCAUGUUAAAAGCCAUCAGACACGUUAAGUUUCAUCUCCAUUGACCUGCAGAAGGAGUCUCUCACCACAGCCACCACAUCUAUGCAUGUGCUGAGUCACAUGUGAAGCCAGCACAUCUCAGAGUCUCACCGAAAGCUCAUGGUGAGACAAAGAGACUAGAAGGGGUAGAGUCAGCUAACUUCUCUCCUCCCACCACUGAUGAGGUUUUGGUGAAUUCUCUUCCCUUGCUCAGUAAGUCAUUAUUAUGGGGAAUGCUUCGGGUUUAUUCAAAAUGUUUUACUUUUCCUUUCUCCCUGACAGAAACAAAGGCUUUACUUGACUCUUUACUAUGAAAGCCUGGUUGGGUUCCUGAAAGUAAUACUCAUAGAAGUGUAGGGUCCCCUAUGACUGCAGCCCUCAGGAGUUUCUCAUUCUUAACAGUAAUGUAAAUGCUGCCCCCCAUAAUUUGUCAAAGUUCCUAUUUAAAUGUUCCCACCAAUUUAUGGCUCCAACUGCUGUUGCUUCAGGUAAGUUGAUCUUGAUUGUGAUUCUCUCUGUUCACCUGUGUCUUCUGAUUUCAUGUGGUGGUUUUUCAUGUGACCUCAGUUCUAUAGUGGGUCCAAGAACAGUUGUUAAUAUUCAGUUUGCUGAGCUUUUUCUUGUUGUAGAGGUGGGAGUGAUGACUUCUGAACUGCUUUUUUUUUUUGAGACUGAAGUGUCUUGCUCUGUCACCCAGGCUGGAGUGUAGUAGCAUGAUCUCGGAGAAUAGGGUGAAGUAGUUCUCCAUUUAAUUUUUUUAUAUAGAUAAUUGUCCCAACACCAUUUAUUAAAUAUUCCUUCUUUUUCCAUUGAUAUUUCUUAUAUGCUUACCACUUUCUAUAUAGUUGGUUUGUUUCUGGUCUCUUUAUUCUGCUUUAUUAACUAUUUAUCUACAUCUGGCCAGUAACACACUUUUAAAAAUUAUUGUAUCUAUUAAGGUCAACCCUCUCACCUAAUUCUUCUUUAACACUAUUAAAGAAGAAUUCUUGGCCUUUUGCAAUAAGGAUUAAUUUAUGUCUAUUUGUCUUCCUUGCGUUUAAGAGGAGUUGUCAGUCUUUUGCAAUAAUGCUUUUCUUUAAUUUUGGAAAUUUUUCUAUCAUUAUUUCUUUGAAUAUUUCCUCAUAAACUUUUUUUCUCAACCUUUCUCCCUGUUUGCUAAUUAGGUUAUUAUUUCCACAUUGUCAUUAUUGUUGAUAUUUAUAUUGUGUAAUGUAACAAUAAUUUUCACAUGUAUUUACACUUUUACAUUUAUGUUGAUUUAGUAGUCACUGCCAUACUUUAUAAUGAUGUUCUUUAUUAUUUUCUUGGAUGGCUGCAAUUUGUACCAUAAUACUUCUUCCUAGAAAGGUUUAUGAAACUGUCUUGUAUCAAAUUGUUUUCCUGGGACUUGAAAAUUAAUCAUCAUUUAAAUUAAUCAACAAUUAAAUUUAUUUCUUUAAAUUAAUCAUUAAUUAAUUAGUUACUUAAACUGCUGUUAUGGGAGACUUCUAUUUUAUCUUUGAAUUUUUCUGUUUGACUUUUUUUUAAUCUUCUUCAGAAUACAGUGAGUGCUCUUCUUUAACUGUCUUCCAUAAUUAACAUUUAGUCUUUGUUAAUUAACAAAACUAGUUCUUUUUCUUUCAAUAUGCUCAAUUUUCUUAAGCUUUCUUCUACAUGCUCUUGACAUUUUAGUAAUUUCUAUGUCUAAUGUGACUUUCAUGUUUUUAUGCUUUGAUUUUCUCUAUCACUUCAUGUCCUUUAUAAAAAAAAAAGUCAAUUCCCCUUGAACCUUUAUGUUUUUUCUUUCUGCUCUCCUUUUUUUCUCCCCAGUGAGGCCAUGCUUCAUUUAAUUUCUUUGAUUUUCAUUAAGAUGUUUGAUUAUAAUCUGAAACUGAUUUUACCAUAAUUUUCUGAUGUAUAUUCUUUAUUGACCUUGUUUCAUUAUGUUACUUUUCUCUCUGUUCCUUUAAGUAUGUUUACAUAAAUUCCAUGAUUUUGCCCCUCAUUGAAUGCUGGAAGUUUUCCUGCACCAACUGUUUGUAGAAAAAAAGUGUAGGGAGAAGCUGAGAUAAGCUGGGAUAUUAGGAGAAUUUGCUAAAUGGCCUCUGAAUACCUUGUCACAGCACCCUGCUGGGUUGGUACCAUUCUGUUCCCUAAUAAGGAAAAAUAAUUCUGGCUCUUUGGUCACAGACAUUGGUUGACAAUUUACAUUUUAUUUACCUUCACUUAUCCAAGGUCACAGCUCUGCAUGUCAUCCAGGUUUAUUGUAAAUCCAGCCUCAGUCACACCCUAUUUCUUGCAAAAUUAGCUGCUCUCCCUGUCUGUGGGAAGCUCCCUCUACUUGCCCACACAUCCUGACCUUUCUCUGCCAAUUAAGGCAUUUUAGUUUACCCCUCCAGUGGGCCAUCUAGUCUGGAGAAGUUCAUGUUAGCUCAAGGUUUGCAGAGCUCAAGUUUCUCUUUCUGAAUCCUCCCUUCCCUGUGCACUAUUUCCAGUGCAGUCAGCAGCCCUUCUUUAUAGACUGUGUUUUCCUUGUUACUUUAAAGGAGAAGAGGGAAUAGAUGUGUGUUAUCGGUACUAUCUUAAAUAAGGAAUUAGCAUGAUACAUUGUUGAUAAAAAUAGUCAAGUUUGCCAACCAUCAGUCAACAUUAUUACAUAGGUUAACUGAUGACAGUACUUAAAUAACCAGAUGUACUCUUUUUUUUUUUCCUUACCACUUUAAAGUUUGGAUUUUUUUUUCUCUCUAAUUAAAUCCAACAGGUCAAAACCUAAUGUUAGAAUUGAUCAGCAAAGCUAAUGCUUUAUGGUGUGUCUAACGCCUACAUCCAAAGAGCCUGCAUCUUAACAAUUCCCUUGCUUUUUUCAGGAAAAUUGUUGUUUUUAUUCCAAAUACUAAAUGUAAAUAUUAAAAUUUUUUUAUUGGAUUUACCUACACAGAAAUAAAUUGUUAGACUAAGACCUGAGUUCUGUCUAAAUAAUAAAAACUCAUUGAUAUGGGGCUUUGAUGCUACCUAUAGGUCUAUUUAAAACAUUGACCUGAAAAUAAAUGACUCUAAAUGUUUUUCUUCACCAAUCAUCGGAACCAGCCAGGCUCUAGAGAAUUAAAUAAUCUAAAAGUGGUACAUUUUAUAACAGCUGGUGGGAUUUUUAUUGACACCUUCACAUGAUCAAUUCAUGGUUGUCACCUUGCUUAAGUUGAUCAACCUAAUGUGUACGUGCAAUGUUAUAAUUACCUUUCCUUUUGACAAGGAUGCGUUAAGUGUGGCUGUAAUAUGGGAACUCCUUUCAGCUUUCAUUAACUCAAUAUAAAUCCAAAGCUUGCAGAUUCAGCAGAGUUGUCUAUAGUGGCUUAAUUGGAAUUGCUGGACAAGAACAUUGAUUCUGCUUCACUCAGGUAAAGAUGAAAGUAACUGCAACAAUGGAUAUUGCAUUUGAAGGUCAUUGAGUUGUAGUCAGGCAAGGGGAGCAGAUAUUAAAACAUACACGCACAAAAUAAUGGGAUUUUUAUUUAGCAUCUCGCAAGUCUUGAGUAACAUAGUAUUAAUUGACCUUGAGAUUUCAUUCUUUUGUGACUCAUUGCAUUUGCUUUUGUGUUUCAGAUUAAUAUAGAAUAUUUUAAAGAAAGAGUAAUACAGCCAAUUUUAAUCUCUGGGAAGUUUAUGCAAGACAUAAUUUAUUUGUAAACUUUAUAAUAAUAUGUGAAUUAAAGACCCUUGUUAGUUUGGUAUGAAUCUGACAUAAGGGCUAAAAUCACUUUUUCAUUAGCCUUCUCCUGAUCUCAGGUUUACACCUAAGAGAUUCUUCACUCCAAAGUCUUCAUUUCCAAGCACAACCUGCUGGGUGCUGCGCUUUUCUGAGGUCUCCUCCCCAGCUCUGCAUCUAGCAGUGCUCAUGAUGCAAUGAUUUCCUGUCUGACUAUCCCAUUCCUAUCCUUUGCAAAGUUCACAUAGACCCAUUUGAGUACACUUUUAGUAGCAUACCAAGUUUAAGUGCCAAAGUUGUGUUUUAGUUCUUUCAUCCAGAAAGAAAACAUCAGCUGUUUCAAAUUUUAGAGUCCAGCUUGGGCAACAAGAGAAUUGUCAUGUCGUCGAUUGUGUAGUAAGACACAGUGAGUGUCCAGCAAUGUAAAAUCAGUCUAUAAAUGAGAAGAUUAAGACCAAAAGCAUCGGGUUACAAACAUCUCACUAAAGCCCAUUAGCAGGCAGAGAGCUCUCCGCGGAGCUAGAAAAUGAGACUUUUCCCUCCUUUCUGCCCCAUACAUUAGUGCUGAUCUCAGGAGCUCAUUUUUGCACCCUUUGUGGCAGACAACCAUAUAAUCAAAGGGUUCCCAUCACUAAAUCAUUUGAAAAGACAAGUAGAAAUUAGCUUUAGCUAAUUUAACUAGCCUUUGCCCCUCCUCCUGACCCUGAGGGUGAAGCACAUUUUAUCAUUCAUCCUCUGGGGGCUGGCUUAUGCUGGCUCCCUUUCCUUUGGCAGUGAUUUUAAGCAACCAAGUUCUUAUUACAAUUCUCAAAUUUAAAAUUAAGUUCUGAUCACAUCUUCUCAGGGCAUACCUAAGAGGCAGUGUUUAUCCCCAGCCAAAUCAAUUGUUUCCUCAAGUGACUCAUUCCUGAAAAUGUUAUUGUUUCUAAUAACCAGCUCAAAUAUGUAUUUUCAUUAAUCUUUUCUUUUACCUCCAUUUCACACGUGUUGCUGCAUGUCAGGCAGUUUCCACAAGGAUCUGCCAUGACAUCAUUGUGUGAGGUAUGAAAAAAAAAUUUUUUUUUUUCUAAUUUAAGAAUUACUUUUACUCAGAUGGUGGCUGGGCUGGGAAAUGUUCCCCAUUGCCCUGGGAGUUUUAGGCCAAGGCUUGUGUGUGUGUGUGUGUGUGUGUGUGUGUUGGAAGGGUCUCUCAUUGCCUAUUUCUGCUUAUAUAACACACACUGGUUUAGGUAGGUGGAGUCAGAAUGGGAAGAGGAAGUUCCCUAAGUGUUUCUUGCAUGCAAAGGUAAGUGGAGAAUGCCCAUCUGGGCACACAGGGCAAGGAUGCAGUGGAGUGACCUCUCCUUUCCCCUCCAACUCACAUGCUGGAGUUUAAAAACUGUAUCAGGAUGACAGAAACCAAGGGGUAAGACCACGGCUUCCUCUGGGGAUCUUCUAUAAACUGUAAGAACAAACACAGGUAUUUUGUAGUUCUUUAUCACAACGGGUCCUUUGCUGAUGAUUCUAGGUUUUAUGACUGCUGUUUUAUGUCCUACAAAUAGUAACAGGCAUUUCCCUUUGCCCUACACCACAGUAAGCCACUGGCCUAGACAAGAAGCAACUCUGCACUGCUUUUCAAACAUCAUCCUCCCUCUCGACCGCAGGGACUAUUUGGUUUCUAUUCUACUUCUGGCCUUUCAUAUUCCUGAUGGUGCAUUGGAUGAAACCCCGCAGCCAGGCGUGUGAACGUGGUUGAAAAGACCCAUGGAGGACCAGCAACGCUUCCCCACAGCGUGGGAUGGUCCCCUCCUGAGAUGGCCCACUGUCAGCGGGACUGACGCCAAGCACUGCAUCCUGUCUGCUUCUUGAACAGCCCCUUCAUUGUUUGUUCAGCUAUUCUGCUGCAUCUGCAGAUAGCCCUGCCUGAGAAACAGCCUCAAACCAGAAGGAGAGGAUGGCGGCAAGCCUUAGAGAAACAUGGAUGUUAUGUGGACUUCAUUGCCUCAGAGAAAAUUCCUUUUAGGGCUGAAGGCAGAGAAAGUCAGCAUUGAUUUCUGGCCUAAGCUCUUGGGAGUUUAGAGGGUUUGUCAAGGAGCCAAAAGAGGCAAAGGGACUUGAAGAUUUGGACGGCAUGUCUCGGAGAAGUAGCCCCACUCCUAGAGGAGAUGACAUUUGGCUUGGAGGAGAAAGAGGCCUCAAAGGUUUCACAUAUCUAAGUCCAAGGAACUUGAGCUCACAGUCAGACAUCAUAAAACACACAAGGAAAGAAGGCAUCAUGAAUAAAAGCAGGAACCAAUAUUAUUAGACACAACAGAUAAAAUGACCGUAAAGAAAAUUUGGGAAUGUGUAUUUCAGGGAAAAUGAAAAUGAUCCCAAUAAAGAUCGGAGAUGCAGGAAGGAAGGAAAACAUAGAAAUUGAGCCAGUUGGAGUGUGAGGCUUCAGAAUCGCCUUCCAACUCUCUGUGCACUGCACCAGCUGCUUCCCAUAGACUCCUGGUAAAAUAUAGAGCGGAAGGAAGAAGAGCCACUACCCAUAACAUCAGUGGCUGCUAACUAAGGAGUGUUUUGACAUGCUGGUACAGCCUAUCCUCAGCUUUCCAGAAGGUGGAAUCUUGUGAUAGUGGAAAGAAGUAGAAGAGAUGAAGUACCUAUGACUCCAGGAUUUGCCAGUGAAAGAAGUCAACAAUAUUUUAACUUUGAUCUUAACCAAAAGGCCAAGAAGUGAUGCUAAUAUUUUCAUAUACUACGACAGUUGCAGACACACGUCUAUCAUAGCUGGGUAGUAAUCCAGGCAACUCUGCCACAAGUCAUGGGCUCAGCCACCAGUCCACGAAGUCUCCAGUCACACAUAUUGCUUCGGACUAUUCUCUAUCCCCAGUUGUCAAUUAACUAAAAUAUUAAAUGAGGAUGCCAUGGAGUCCCCCAACUGAUUUCAUAAAUUUGGUGUCACAUUGUAAAUCAAGCAGCUGCAGAGUGGCUGGGACAUCUGUUUGGUUCUGUUAUUCUCUUUACUCCAAAAGGAAACUAACUCCAAAAGAAGAAAACCUGAUGUCUGAGCUGAAUCCUAAUCAUGAAGAUGUUUUUCCACCAUUCCUGUCUGUGUUUUUCUACCAUUCCUGUCUGUGUUUUUCUACCAAAGUGUGCUCUUGAAGUUCUGCAUUUCCCAGGGUGUGGUGAAAGAAGAGAAAAAAAUGUCCAAGAUGACUUCAACGUUCUGACCUUGAGUGGCUUGAGUGAAUGGAGUUACAACUGUGCAGAAAGAUUCAGUAGAGAGUUUUGGAUUUAUGCACCAGUAAGGGGAAAACUGAACAGCUGCAGAGAGCUGUAACUUUUAUAGGAGAUUAAUCUAUAAGAGAAGACAGCAAACUACAGCCUGUGUGUCAAAUCCUACUUGCCACGUCCACUGAAAGCUAACUACACUGGAACACUCUCAUUUCUGCAAAGAAAAAUAUCAUAUCCCAGGAUGAAAAGGAGGAGGAAGAGGAAAGGCUAACUUAACAAGAAGCUCUUUGACAUUCUUGAAUUAGACACCCAACGUAGUCCACGCAGUACGGAGGAUGACUUCAGAAGUGCAAUUCUGAUAUGGACUUUGUCUCCCUAAGGCUUUCAGUUCCUCAUAUUUAGGAUAAAACAGAAGUUUAUGUAAAGCCAAGGGAGAGGGUCACCGGGAGAGGGAAGGAGGAACAGCAGAAGGAGAGGUCCACACAUGAAAAUACUUGGAAGCGCCCCAGGGCCUAUCAGAUGCAGGUCUUGGCGGAAAUUACCAAACAUACUUUAGACAGGCUGCUGUGUUGCUGAGUGUGGACUGGCCUCAGGGCCUGCUGAUCAAAGCAAAAGGAAGCAGUGAAAAAAACAUCACCAUGUCUUCUUAGAGUCUAAUCUGGGGGCAAGAGGCCAGCAUGCACAGUUGGUGCUGAUUUUCUUGGGCGGAUAGAGGAAAGGUGUAGGCGUGGCCAACAUUUGAGCAGCAUGUGGUUCCUCUCACACGCCAUGCUGUUUCCGGCCUCCUUGCAUUUUACUCAUGCCAUCCUCCUGGUCACUUCUUUGAGAUAUUAAGUGCAUUCUUUAGGACUCAGACUCAGCUCAAGGGUCAGUGCAUCCAUGAAGCCUUACCUGGAUCCCAGAGGGAGCUCUGUGCUCCUCCUUUGUCUCCUAUAGGACCCAGUACAUGCGUCCAGUAUUAUCCAUACACACUGAAAUGAUCUAGCAUGUGUCUUCCCAUAGGAUUUCAAAUUCUUAGAAUAUAGGAGUGAUGCCUUCUUCCUACUUAUAUUUCCAGUGUUAACAGUGCCUGUCAAUUGACUUGAAGAUAACUAAAAGUCUGGUUGUUAAGGGCUGCUUCCCACCUCCAAAUACUUCCCUGGAAGUCAUUGUAUGGGCACUGACAUUGGUAGGUCUCCACUGGCUUGUAGAUGCUUCUGAUUAUAAGGUAGUCUCAGAUGCCUUCAGAAAGUUCUAAGACUGUAUAAAACAUUUCCUUCACAACCAAUAACUGUGUAUUAUUGUUCGUGUAAUUCCAGAAGUUAUCCUUUUGAUAGAGAGCAAUUACUUUAUUGAUUGAGAGUUAGCUAAUUAUGUAAUAAAGGUAAAGAUUUGCAUAGAGAAGUGUAAGAGACAUGGAGAAGAUUCUUGGUGGGUGGUGAGGGCGGGUACAUUUACACCAGACCAAGACUGAUCUGGCUGUGGCGCUGGAGAUUAAACUGUUUAAAUAUGGGAUCCUAAGAAGACUUCUGUGCAUUCUAGACUUCAAGAGACAGAUUGCAUUUUUUUUUAGGAAAUGUAGAUAAAACCCUUUGACUGAAUGACUCUAGAAAAUAAUACUGAUUUGAGAGAGAAAGGAAAUUCUAAAACAAAAUCCUGACAGCAGAGGCAUGAAUGAUCCUCAUGAGGAAGAAAUGAGACUCUGCUUAACUACACUGUAGAUUUUGGUGUGGAAGAAGAUGGAAGGUGGGUAUAUAGCCAAAUUUUGAAUACAAUAGGGCAGCACAAAACUGUGACAACAGUGGCAGAAGGACUGAAGUACAGAAUGUGUGAAAGUUGUUGUGAAAUAAAUAGAGAGCAACAGAAAAGGACUAUUUGGGCUGGGCAAUGGUAAUCCCAGAACUUUGGGAGGCUGAGUCAGGUGGAUCACCUGAGGUCAGGAGCUCAAGA